ensembl:piRNA 21ur-14176 ncRNA
UUGGUUUUUUCAUCAUAGGUA